AAGUCGUAACAAGGUUUCCGUAGGUGAACCUGCGGAAGGAUCAUUAUUGAAAUAAACCUGAUGGGUUGUUGCUGGUUCUCUAGGGAGCAUGUGCACACCUUGUCAUCUUUAUAUCUCCACCUGUGCACUUUUUGUAGACCUUUCAGGUCUAUGUUGCUUCAUUUACCCCAAUGUAUGUUAAUAGAAUGUUGUGCCUAUAUAAUAUAUACAACUUUCAGCAACGGAUCUCUUGGCUCUCGCAUCGAUGAAGAACGCAGCGAAAUGCGAUAAGUAAUGUGAAUUGCAGAAUUCAGUGAAUCAUCGAAUCUUUGAACGCACCUUGCGCUCCUUGGUAUUCCGAGGAGCAUGCCUGUUUGAGUGUCAUUAAUAUAUCAACCUUCUCUUUUUUGAGUUGUUUGGAUGUGGGGGUUUGCUGGCAUCUUAAAUGAUUCAGCUCCCCUGAAAUGCAUUAGCAGAACAACCUGUUCAUUGGUGUGAUAAUUAUCUAUGCUAUUGAGUGUGAGGGCAGUUCAGCUUUCUAACCGUCCUCGGACAAUUCAUCAUUAAUGUGACCUCAAAUCAGGUAGGACUACCCGCUGAACUUAA
rnacentral:rRNA from 1 species